UCUUUGGUGAUCUAGCUGUAUGAGUGUAAAACGACAUCAUAAAGCUAGAUUACCGAAGUCA
rnacentral:pre_miRNA from 1 species